AUUGAACGCUGGCGGCAGGCCUUACACAUGCAAGUCGAACGGCAGCAUGAUCUAAGUUUCCUGUUUCAGGUCGCGUGUCGCGCGCGUGUGUAAUAUACCUCGGCGUCUCCUUUUUCGUGGGAUAUCUCGUCGAACAACUUACUCUUACAGCAUAUACCCUCUACGUGUGAAAGCAGGUGAUCUUGGCCCCUUGCUCUAUUGUCUGCCCCGAUGUCUGAUUAGCUUUUUGGCGGGGUAAAGGCCCACCAAGGCGACGAUCCGUAGCUGGUCUGAGAGGACGAUCAGCCACACUGGGACUGAGACACGGUCCAGACUCCUACGGGAGGCAGCAGUGGGGAAUAUUGGACAAUGGGCGAAAGCCUGAUCCAGCAAUGCCGCGUGUGUGAAGAAGGCCUUCGGGUUGUAAAGCACUUUUGUCGGGAAAGAAAAGGAGCAGGUUAAUACCUGGGGUCGAUGACGGUACCGAAAGAAUAAGCACCGGCUAACUACGUG
rnacentral:rRNA from 1 species